GACGAACGCUGGCGGCGUGCUUAACACAUGCAAGUCGAGCGGUAAGGCCCUUUCGGGGGUACACGAGCGGCGAACGGGUGAGUAACACGUGGGUGACCUGCCCUCAGCUCUGGGAUAAGCCUGGGAAACCGGGCCUAAUACCGGAUAUGACUCCAUGACGCAUGUUGUGGGGUGGAAAGCCUUGUGCGGCUGAGGAUGGGCCCGCGGCCUAUCAGCUUGUUGGUGGGGUGAUGGCCUACCAAGGCGACGACGGGUAGCCGGCCCUGAGAGGGCGACCGGCCGACACUGGGACUGAGACACGGCCCAGACUCCUACGGGAGGCAGCAGUGGGGAAUCUUGCGCAAUGGGCGAAAGCCUGACGCAGCGACGCCGCGUGAGGGAUGACGGCCU
rnacentral:rRNA from 1 species